rnacentral:rRNA from 2 species
CGACUCUCGGCAACGGAUAUCUCGGCUCUCGCAUCGAUGAAGAACGUAGCGAAAUGCGAUACUUGGUGUGAAUUGCAGAAUCCCGUGAACCAUCGAGUCUUUGAACGCAAGUUGCGCCCGAAACCAUCUGGUUGAGGGCACGUCUGCCUGGGCGUCACGCAUC